GAUUUCGUCUUGUAUGAUUUACGCAUGUCGUUUUAUUUGGUUCUUGUCUUGUGGAGUCCAGUGUCUGAUGUCAUAUAUGGUCUAAGUGUACGCGCGAGUAUGGUGUGAUGUGUGACGUUUAUGGUAUGUGAUGCAUGCAAGAGUACGCGUUGUCAGAGUGUGAGGAUGUGCUUCCGUCUGUGUGAGAGUGACUGUCAAGUGAAUGCAGUACAUGCGCAGUGCUAGUUUGGUCUGGGAAUGAGAGUCGUGUGUGAUUCGUCCGUGGUCUGGUUGUCGUGGUCUUGGUCAUGUGUUCUGUACGUAUUCGUCCCUGAUUGGUCGUCUCGAUUUGUCCUCGGUUUAUUACUGCUUGUUCUUUGUUGAUCCUCUUAGUCUUUUCCCGGGAGUCUUUCCCGUCGUCGUUUUCCGUCUAGUCUUUUCGUCUUUCUCCUCCUGUGCCCUCGCCGUUUAUUAUUGAAGUGAAUACUAGUAUGGAAGCUAACGGAAUGGUGCGUUGUUGAGUGACCGGGGCCAGGGGGAGAAGCCUACAACCAUUUCCUUUACAGUGGCGCCCAACGGUAUUUCGACGCGGAGUUCUGCCUCCGCAGCCCACGACCCUGGGAUCGUUUUGUUUUCGCCGUGGCUUCAGUUCGUGCUCGCCGUUUCGAAAUAUAUUUUAUUUCUCUCGUCGACCAACUCACUUCACCGAGAUUGCUACUACGGCCAUGGAGAUGGAAAGGCGUUCGCCAGCCUGGCCUGCAGGCCCCUUCCCCGACGCCGAUUUCCCAAGAUUCUGCACCCAUGAAGGCUUCCUAUUCCAAAUCGGAUCACACAUCUCUGGCCACAGCAUUCCGUUGUCUUAUCGUUUAGUUGUGUUUCCCCUUGUUUCUUUUUUCUGACCUUUGUCGUUUGUUCUGAAAGAGUCGAGGUCGACUCUCGCUGGAGGGGAAUGCUGUGUUACGGAUUUCGUCUUGUAUGAUUUACGCAUGUCGUUUUAUUUGGUUCUUGUCUUGUGGAGUCCAGUGUCUGAUGUCAUAUAUGGUCUAAGUGUACGCGCGAGUAUGGUGUGAUGUGUGACGUUUAUGGUAUGUGAUGCAUGCAAGAGUACGCGUUGUCAGAGUGUGAGGAUGUGCUUCCGUCUGUGUGAGAGUGACUGUCAAGUGAAUGCAGUACAUGCGCAGUGCUAGUUUGGUCUGGGAAUGAGAGUCGUGUGUGAUUCGUCCGUGGUCUGGUUGUCGUGGUCUUGGUCAUGUGUUCUGUACGUAUUCGUCCCUGAUUGGUCGUCUCGAUUUGUCCUCGGUUUAUUACUGCUUGUUCUUUGUUGAUCCUCUUAGUCUUUUCCCGGGAGUCUUUCCCGUCGUCGUUUUCCGUCUAGUCUUUUCGUCUUUCUCCUCCUGUGCCCUCGCCGUUUAUUAUUGAAGUGAAUACUAGUAUGGAAGCUAA